rnacentral:rRNA from 1 species
UAGUGGCGGACGGGUGAGUAACACGUAAGAAUUUACCUUUAGGAAGGGGAUAACAGCCGGAAACAGUUGCUAAUACCCUAUAUGCUUUAGAGUGAAACGGGGCAACCCGCCUAAAGAGAAGCUUGCGGCUGAUUAGCUUGUUGGUGGGGUAAAAGCUCACCAAGGCGACGAUCAGUAUCUGGUUUGAGAGGAUGAUCAGACACACUGGAACUGAGACACGGUCCAGACUCCUACGGGAGGCAGCAGUGGGGAAUUUUCCGCAAUGGGCGAAAGCCUGACGGAGCAAUACCGCGUGAGGGAUGAAUGCCUAUGGGUUGUAAACCUCUUUUUUCAGGGAGGAAGAAAAUGACGUGUACCUGAAGAAUAAGCAUCGGCUAACUCCGUGCCAGCAGCCGCGGUAAGACGGAGGAUGCAAGUGUUAUCCGGAAUCACUGGGCGUAAAGCGUCUGUAGGUGGUUAAAUAAGUCAACUGUUAAAUCUUGAGGCUCAACUUCAAAACCGCAGUCGAAACUAUUUGACUUGAGUAUAGUAGGGGUAAAGGGAAUUUCCAGUGGAGUGGUGAAAUGCGUAGAGAUUGGAAAGAACACCGAUGGCGAAGGCACUUUACUGGGCUAUUACUAACACUCAGAGACGAAAGCUAGGGUAGCAAAUGGGAUUAGAUACCCCAGUAGUCCUAGCCGUAAACAAUGGAUACUAGAUGUUGAACAGAUCGACCUGUGCAGUAUUAAAGCUAACGCGUUAAGUAUCCCGCCUGGGAAGUAUGCUCGCAAGAGUGAGACUCAAAGGAAUUGACGGGGGCCCGCACAAGCGGUGGAGCAUGUGGUUUAAUUCGAUGCAACGCGAAGAACCUUACCAGGGUUUGACAUGAUACGAAUUUCUUUGAAAUAAGAAAGUGC